rnacentral:rRNA from 1 species
UGGGACUGAGAUACGGCCCAGACUCCUACGGGAGGCAGCAGUGGGGAAUAUUGGGCAAUGGGCGAAAGCCUGACCCAGCAACGCCGCGUGAAGGAAGAAGGCCUUCGGGUUGUAAACUUCUUUUAAGAGGGACGAAGAGUGACGGUACCUCUUGAAUAAGCCACGGCUAACUACGUGCCAGCAGCCGCGGUAAUACGUAGGUGGCGAGCGUUAUCCGGAUUUACUGGGUGUAAAGGGCGCGUAGGCGGGAAUGCAAGUCAGAUGUGAAAUCUAGGGGCUUAACCCCUAAACUGCAUUUGAAACUGUAUUUCUUGAGUGUCGGAGAGGUUGACGGAAUUCCUAGUGUAGCGGUGAAAUGCGUAGAUAUUAGGAGGA